GACGAACGCUGGCGGCGUGCCUAAUACAUGCAAGUCGAGCGAGACUCUUCGGAGUCUAGCGGCGGACGGGUGAGUAACACGUGGGCAACCUGCCUGUAAGACUGGGAUAACACCGGGAAACCGGUGCUAAUACCGGAUAAUCCUUUUCCUCUCAUGAGGGAAAGCUGAAAGUCGGUUUCGGCUGACACUUACAGAUGGGCCCGCGGCGCAUUAGCUAGUUGGUGAGGUAACGGCUCACCAAGGCGACGAUGCGUAGCCGACCUGAGAGGGUGAUCGGCCACACUGGGACUGAGACACGGCCCAGACUCCUACGGGAGGCAGCAGUAGGGAAUCUUCCACAAUGGACGAAAGUCUGAUGGAGCAACGCCGCGUGAGCGAUGAAGGCCUUCGGGUCGUAAAGCUCUGUUGUUAGGGAAGAAUAAGUACCGGAGUAACUGCCGGUACCUUGACGGUACCUAACCAGAAAGCCACGGCUAACUACGUGCCAGCAGCCGCCGUAAUAC
rnacentral:rRNA from 1 species